rnacentral:tRNA from 1 species
GCAGGGGUAUCCGAGUCUGGUCAAAGGAGCGGGACUUAAGAUCCCGUGUCGUAGGACUACGAGGGUUCAAAUCCCUCCCCCUGCA